UACGUAGGGUGCAAGCGUUAAUCGGAAUUACUGGGCGUAAAGCGUGCGCAGGCGGUUCGCUAAGACAGAUGUGAAAUCCCCGGGCUUAACCUGGGAACUGCAUUUGUGACUGGCGGGCUAGAGUAUGGCAGAGGGGGGUAGAAUGCCACGUGUAGCAGUGAAAUGCGUAGAGAUGUGGAGGAAUACCGAUGGCGAAGGCAGCCCCCUGGGCCAAUACUGACGCUCAUGCACGAAAGCGUGGGGAGCAAACAGG
rnacentral:rRNA from 1 species